UUUUGUGGGUGUGAAGCGGUGGAAGUUGCUAUGGUGGUGAGUGGAUCGUGUGGAGAUAUGGUGAAGGAGGUUUGUUUUUUAGGGAGAUGAACGGCGGAGAGAGAUGAGAGAGUGGUGGUUCGUGCCUCUCUUCUCCUUUUUCGUUUUUUGUUCUCUUUCGUGAGUGAGAGGGUGAGAGAGUGGUGAGUGUUAGGUAGGUGGUGAUGUGUGAAGAGAGAAUCUGAGAGAGGAUUUUUGUGAAUUGUCCACUUUCUUUUUUAUUUUCUUCUUGGUAGGUGAGGAAGAGAUAUAGUGAGUGACGCUUGUGUGUGAGAGAGACAUGAGGUGAGAGAAAGAGAGUGUGGUUUUGUGAGAGAAAAUCUUUUCUAAUUUUUUCUUGUUUUUAUUCGUUGAGAAUCUGUGAGAGAGAGUGAGGGAGAUGUGGUAUGUAGUAAUGUAUGAAGAGAGAAUAUGAGAGAGGAUUUUUGUGAGAUGUCCACUUUCUUUUUUAUUUUCUUCUUGGUAGGUGAGGAAGAGAUAAAGUGAGUGACGCCUGUGUGUAUGAGAGACGUGAGGUGAGAGAAAGAGAGUGUGGUUUUGUGAGAGAAAAUCUUUUCUAAUCUUUUCUUGUUUUUAUUCGUUGAGAAUCUAUGAGAGAGAGUGAGGG
rnacentral:lncRNA from 1 species